rnacentral:rRNA from 1 species
UGAGUGUAGGAGGGGAGAAUGGAACUUCUGGUGGAGCGGUGAAAUCCGUAGAUAUCAGAAGGAACGCCGGCGGCGAAAGCGAUUCUCUGGCCUAUUACUGACACUCAGUGUGCGAAAGCUAGGGGAGCAAACGGGAUUAGAUACCCCGGUAGUCCUAGCCGUAAACGAUGGGCACUAAGUAGAGGGGAUUACCGACGUUCUCUCUGCCGUAGCUAACGCAUUAAGUGCCCCGCCUGGGGAGUACGGCCGCAAGGCUAAAACUCAAAAGAAUUGACGGGGGCUCGCACAAGCGGUGGAGCAUGUGGCUUAAUUCGAUGCAACGCAAAGAACCUUACCGGGGCUUGACAUGGUAGAAGUAGGAACCCGAAAGGGUAACGAACGGUAUCCAGUCCGUGACUAUCACAGGUGUUGCAUGGCUGUCGUCAGCUCGUGUCGUGAGACGUUGGGUUAAGUCCCCUAACGAGCGAAACCCUUGUUUUUAGUUACCAGCGGGUUAUGCCGGGUACUCUAGAAAGACUGCCGUCGUCAAGACGGAGGAAGGUGGGGAUGACGUCAAGUCAUCAUGGCCCUUAUGCCCCGGGCUGCACACGUGCUACAAUGGUCGGUACAAACGGAAGCGAAGCCGAGAGGUGAAGCGAAUCCAAGC